GCCCUGGCUGCACAUUCAAACCACCUGGGGAUUUUGAACUCACCUGUGGAGUUGUUCAUCUACUUGCUUUUCACAGAGGUCUAGAGUUCCUGGUCUCGAUUCCUGGGAUGGGCCGGUCAUCACCUCCUGGGCCUGAUGAGGAGAGUGCAUGUUCUCUGCUGUUGUAGGAAGUAACACAAGUAGGCAGAGAGGUUGCUUCAAGCUCUGAGGGCCUCAACUUCAGGAAUAGCCUGAAAAUAAUAUGAAGGCAAAACAGUGCAGUUGCUCUCUAAAUCGCCUUGGCUUUGAUGUGUGUUAGUAAUGAAGCAGCACUCCUGAGGCCCUCAGACUUGAACUGAAAUCUGAACCAUCAGCUCUCAGGCCUUCAACCACACCACUGGUUUUCCUGGAUCUCCAGCUCGUAGAUGGCAGAUUGUGGGACUUCUCAGAUUCCGUUAAUUGCGCAGAUGCCUGAGGAGCUCCUUUCUGUGAAUUUACUCCAGUUGCCACACCCUGGGCCCCUAGAGCAGUGUUUGUCUCCUGGCAGGCCUCACCCCAUCAGAUGGGAAGGACAAACGUGCUCCCGGAACGUGAUUCCUCAGCACUCCUCGUUCAUCACCUGCACUCUCCCCCCGGACUCCUGCCCUUCCUGCAGCCCCUCCUUCCCUUCUCUGGAUCUGUCCUGUUCCCUUUCUGCCUUCUCCAGGACCUGUCCCCAGGGCCUGCAGCCCCCAGCCCCUCCAUAUGGGCAAGAUGAAAAAACCCAGAGCACUUGGAAGAAGUUCUAGGGGCUAUGGAAGAACGUGUAUGAAUCCUACCUUGGGCUUUUACUAAAAGAACAUGCUCUCUGCCAUGGAUAGUGUGGGUUUGAUGCUGGCUUUGGAGGGCUGUAGAAAGGGUACUAAAGUUCCCGAGAGGAGGUUGGAAUUCUGGAGUU
rnacentral:lncRNA from 1 species